rnacentral:rRNA from 1 species
GAUGAACGCUGGCGGCGUGCCUAAUACAUGCAAGUCGAGCGAACAGACGAGGAGCUUGCUCCUCUGACGUUAGCGGCGGACGGGUGAGUAACACGUGGAUAACCUACCUAUAAGACUGGGAUAACUUCGGGAAACCGGAGCUAAUACCGGAUAAUAUAUUGAACCGCAUGGUUCAAUAGUGAAAGACGGUUUUGCUGUCACUUAUAGAUGGAUCCGCGCCGCAUUAGCUAGUUGGUAAGGUAACGGCUUACCAAGGCAACGAUGCGUAGCCGACCUGAGAGGGUGAUCGGCCACACUGGAACUGAGACACGGUCCAGUCUCCUACGGGAGGCAGCAGUAGGGAAUCUUCCGCAAUGGGCGAAAGCUUGACGGAGCAACGCCGCGUGAGUGAUGAAGGUCUUCGGAUCGUAAAACUCUGUUAGUAGGGAAGAACAAAUGUGUAAGUAACUAUGCACGUCUUGACGGUACCUAAUCAGAAAGCCACGGCUAACUACGUG